AAAGUAACACGUGUUGCCGAGGGAAUCCGCUAGCCGCCACCGUCGCGGUGGUAUGCCAGAUAACCUGGGCCUGGCGACACCGUACCGGCCCUGAAACUGGAAUCCUUUCAAGUUCGAAAAAAGAACUUUGUUGGAUUCUGUCCGGCGACAGUGCUAAGGGAAAACUCGAAAUCGCGCCCGCCCACGGCGUUGCGCGCGGAUCGCAAAACAAAGAAACUGCCGACACCA
rnacentral:misc_RNA from 1 species